rnacentral:rRNA from 1 species
AGAGUUUGAUCCUGGCUCAGAUUGAACGCUGGCGGCAUGCCUUACACAUGCAAGUCGAACGGCAGCACGGGGGCAACCCUGGUGGCGAGUGGCGAACGGGUGAGUAAUGCAUCGGAACGUGCCCAGUAGUGGGGGAUAACUAGUCGAAAGAUUAGCUAAUACCGCAUACGACCUAUGGGUGAAAGCGGGGGAUUCGCAAGAACCUCGCGCUAUCGGAGCGGCCGAUGUCUGAUUAAGCUAGUUGGCGGGGUAAAAAGCCCACCAAGGCUUCGAUCAGUAGCUGGUCUGAGAGGACGACCAGCCACACUGGGACUGAGACACGGCCCAGACUCCUACGGGAGGCAGCAGUGGGGAAUUUUGGACAAUGGGCGCAAGCCUGAUCCAGCCAUGCCGCGUGCGGGAAGAGGCCUUCGGGUUGUAAACCGCUUUUGGCAGGACGANACGGCGCGAGCGAAUNUCUCGCGUUAAUGACGGUCCUGCAGAUNGGCCCCGGCUAGCUCGUGCCGCGCCGCGGUAAUACCGUANGGUGCNGCGUAUCGGAUUUCUGGGCGUNGCGUACGCNGCGCUUGCAGACGGUGUGNUCCCGGCUANCUGGGACUGCUUGUGCUGCUGCUGAGUUGUNGAGGGGGUGGAUCCCUGUGCNUGGNUCUUNAUU